GCCCGGUGCGCAGGCGAGGGUUACUUCCGCUGAUAACGGGGUGGUCGCGGGUUCGAAUCCCGUCACCGGCG
rnacentral:tRNA from 1 species